GACGAACGCUGGCGACGUGCCUAAUACAUGCCAGUAGAACGCACAGUUUAUACCGUAGCUUGCUACACCAUAGACUGUGAGUUGCGAACGGGUGAGUAACGCGUAGGUAACCUGCCUGGUAGCGGGGGAUAACUAUUGGAAACGAUAGCUAAUACCGCAUAAUAUUAAUUAUUGCAUGAUAAUUAAUUGAAAGGUGCAAUUGCACCACUACCAGAUGGACCUGCGUUGUAUUAGCUAGUAGGUGAGGUAACGGCUCACCUAGGCGACGAUACAUAGCCGACCUGAGAGGGUGAUCGGCCACACUGGGACUGAGACACGGCCCAGACUCCUACGGGAGGCAGCAGUAGGGAAUCUUCGGCAAUGGACGAAAGUCUGACCGAGCAACGCCGCGUGAGUGAAGAAGGUUUUCGGAUCGUAAAGCUCUGUUGUAAGAGAAGAACGGGUGUGAGAGUGGAAAGUUCACACUGUGACGGUAUCUUACCAGAAAGGGACGGCUAACUACGUG
rnacentral:rRNA from 1 species